AUCGUUCAUCUUAUUUUAUUAAAUAAGACGGAAGUAGGAAGAUAGGAAAACCUCUUUCUUUUUUAAAGAAAGGCUAGCAAGUACCGCUUGGGUUAAUUUAUCUUAGGCGGGAACGAGACCGAAUAUCUGCCGAAGGAACGCGUU
ncrna:unclassified sequences Glutamine riboswitch